rnacentral:rRNA from 1 species
AGAGUUUGAUCCUGGCUCAGGAUGAACGCUAGCGGCGUGCCUAACGCAUGCAAGUCGAACGAGAAACCUUGGACUCGUCUGAGGUGGAAAGUGGCGCACGGGUGAGUAACACGUAGGUGACCUGCCCCAGAGAGGGGGAUAACUAUUGGAAACGGUAGCUAAUACCCCAUAAGCUCACGGUUUUUAGAAAGCUGUGAGAAAAGCUCCGGCGCUCUGGGAGGGGCCUGCGGCCCAUCAGCUAGUUGGUAGGGUAACGGCCUACCAAGGCAAUGACGGGUAGGGGACCUGAGAGGGUGACCCCCCACACUGGCACUGAGACACGGGCCAGACUCCUGCGGGAGGCAGCAGCGAGGAAUAUUGCCCAAUGGGCGAAAGCCUGAGGCAGCAACGCCGCGUGGGUGACGAAGGCCUUCGGGUCGUAAAACCCUUUUCUGGGGGAGGAGGAAGGAAGGUACCCCAGGAAUAAGAGUCGGCUAACUACGUGCCAGCAGCCCGGUAAAACGUAGGACUCGAGCGUUAUCCGGAUUUACUGGGCGUAAAGCGCGUGUAGGCGGCUUGGUUAGUUGGAUGUUAAAGCUCCUGGCUUAACUAGGAGAGGCCAUUCAAUACUGCCAGGCUAGAGGACGGUAGAGGAGAGUAGAAUUCCAGGUGUAGUGGUGAAAUGCGUAGAUAUCUGGAAGAAUACCAGUGGCGAAGGCGGCUCUCUGGGCCGUUCCUGACGCUAAGACGCGAAAGCAUGGGUAGCGAACGGGAUUAGAAACCCCGGUAGUCCAUGCCGUAAACGAUGAAUACUGGGUGUUGGGGGUAUCAAUUCCCUCGGCGCCGAAGCUAACGCGUUAAGUAUUCCGCCUGGGGAUUACGAUCGCAAGGUUAAAACUCAAAGGAAUUGACGGGUCCCCGCACAAGCAGCGGAGCGUGUGGUUUAAUUCGAGGCUACACGAAGAACCUUACCUGGGCUUGACAUGACGGUAGUAGGGAUCCGAAAGGUGACCGACCCUUCGGGGAGCCGCCACAGGUGCUGCAUGGCUGUCGUCAGCUCGUGUCGUGAGAUGUUCGGUUAAGUCCGUUAACGAGCGCAACCCUCGCCGUUAGUUACAAGUGUCUAGCGGGACUGCCGUUAAAAAAGCGGAGGAAGGUGGGGAUGAUGUCAAGUCAGCAUGGCCUUUAUGUCCAGGGCUACACACACGCUACAAUGGCCGGUACAAUGGGUUGCCAAACCGCGAGGUGGAGCCAAUCCUCCAAAGCCGGUCUCAGUUCGGAUUGCAGGCUGCAACUCGCCUGCAUGAAGGUGGAGUUGCUAGUAACCGCAGGUCAGCUAUACUGCGGUGAAUACGUUCCCGGGGAUUGUACACACCGCCCGUCACGUCAUGGGAGCUGGUCACGCCUGAAGUCGAUGAGCUAACCUAACGGGGGCAAUCGCCUAAGGCAGGGCUGGUGACUGGGACGAAGUCGUAACAAGGUA